AGCGGAGCGUGUGGUUUAUUCGAUGCAACGCGAAGAACCUUACCUGGGCUUGACUUGUACGUAGUAGUGAAGGGAAACCGGAACGAGCCUUCGGGCAGCGUACACAGGUGCUGCAUGGCUGUCGUCAGCUCGUGUCGUGACAUGUUGGGUUAAGUCCCGCACCGAGCGCAACCCGUGUUGCUAGUUACAAGUGUCUAGCGAGACUGCCGGUAAAAAGCCGGAGGAAGGUGCGGAUGAUGUCAAAUCCGCAUGGCCUAUAUGUCCAGGGCUACACACACGCUACAAUGG
rnacentral:rRNA from 1 species